UGUAGAACGAAGAAGAGGAAAAGUAUAAACAGUCGUUACUUAUUCAGAGAGAAUCACCUUGGCUGAAAGUGAUUUUAAGUACAUGUUUAGAACAUGCACCUCAGAGUCCUUUGUUGAAUCGGAGUAAACAAAGGCGGUACGCUCACCGUUAUAGGAGCCAAAAGUAGAGGGAAUCAAGCUGAUUUUCUAAACAGAGUGGGACCGCGCAAAAAGCGUCUCUGUG
rnacentral:ncRNA from 2 species